ACCAGUGUAGUGUAGUGGUUUGAACAUUGGACUGUGACUCUGGAGAGCAGGGUUCGAAUCCUGGCUCAGCCA